rnacentral:tRNA from 1 species
GCCUGGUUAGCUCAGUCGGUAGAGCAUGAGACUCUUAAUCCCAGGGUCAUGGGUUAAUGUUCCACGUUGGGUG